UUAUCGUGUCGUGUUGUAAAAGUUAAUUUGCCGUAAAUACCUCUUGAUUUGUACUCAAGAGUGGAGCAAGACCCCAAGGAAGAGAGGUUGACGCAUCGGGAGCGAAGAACAGAAACGAUGGAUGGUUGCGCUGCUUGGGUCUCGGCACGUUCGCAAAGUUCCGAAUUUGUCGCCGUGUGGUGUACGCUUGUGCGCUUGUCAUUUGCUGUCAUCGCGCGGGGAUAUUUGCGCUGAAUGUCUUUCACUUCGUGUACAAAACUCUGCACGCUGCGGCAUCGAAGAAGUUGUCCUGUGUUCGUAUGCGCCUGGACACGCGAUAGCCUGCUUGCUCUCAACGGGUGUUCAACAGUCUACGCGUGCUCGUAACCUGCUCAUGAGGCAAGUUGCUGUUGUUCUGUUGGAGCUGAGAAGAGGUCUGUUGCCUGCAAUGGGUCCAUCUCUCUCAAGUUAUCGCAGUAUUGUAGCUCUCAAAGUUCAAAAAAGUAUGGUAGAAGCAGUUGCCAAGUUUCCGACCAGAAAAGAAAGCCAGUAUGAAAAGGUCCACACCACUGAUCUCUACUACAGGGGAUGGACAGCACAUUGAGUGCUCUCGACUGAAGCCAACCUUGUCCCGGAAGUUGGUGCUUCAUAACUUUGCAGUCGCACUUUGUCUGCACGGAUGUGUGGCAUUUCUUCCCCUAACUGGCCUGCCUGACGUGCCAUAGCAUACUCAAGCAGUGUUUUGAGGUGUCCAGAAUUUUUCCAUUGCAGUGUCCACAGUGUCGCUAACAUAAGUGGCGUGCAGUGGAAACACUGGUAAAUGAGAAAAAAACUUGUGAAAAGCCACAAAGAAAAAAUUUUUUACGGCAGCAAUAUUAUCCGAUCGCUCACACUAGUUAGCCCACCAUACGCCCUACUUCCAGGACAAGCGACUGCAUGACACCGCAUUUCCACUGGCUUCACCUGCAUCCGGUGCAGUGUACUGCAUUCAGCAAAACAUAUUGGAAAUCAGUGGUGCACAGUGUUUUCUGUCCCCUUUCUCGAUGCCUACUGAACACAUGGUAAACUGUUUCCAAAGCAGAAAGACGGAGGGAAAGGGCUCUGAACACAUUGCAUUUUAAUGUGGCUGGCAGUGGGUAACGCAAGUACUGUGGCAUAGAUUUGCGCCAGGCAACCUGGGAGCCGAAAAAGACUGCUGGUUACUUGCAAAUGGCCAACACGUUGUUGGCAUGUUGAAGUUCUUUUUUAAUCUCAUCGCUUAUUUAGCCAUUGGAGACAGCUUUCACAACUGGAGAAGCCUUGGAAGCAUGAAACACUUAGCAAAACCAGCGUCAAUAUAUCGUGUGUCGGCAUACAUAAUUUCAUGGCUGCAUGUGUGAACCCUCUGGUUAACAUGUAAGAGUGUUCAUGUUUGCCAUGCAUUAUCGACUUUAUCUACAGGUCAACCCUAUCUUGAGACUUAAGCUGAUGUUGUGUUUAGAGAAAUUAUGGCCGAGAGCCAGUUUUUGAGAAUGCAGACUGAGCUCGACAGUUCAAACGCUAGAACAAGUUGUUGAGGAUUUCAGAUCAAGAAUCUUCAUAGGCCAGUUCAUUUAGUGGUGUUAAUAUUCUGCUCAAAGUUGUUGAUUGUAACGUUCAUAUGGUGCCCAAGCAUUACGCAACGACUUCACUUGGAGUACAUAGCAAGGGUGUACUCGAUGUAAGCUGGUGGCUUUUUUCUGCAUUUUCAAAAACUGGUUUCUUGUUCAGUUGAGAUUUUCAAAUUUUGCAUUGUUUAUUAGGUGUUGUGUCCUGCUUCCUUUUCCUGCAGCUUCUUAAACAUCUGAAUAGUGAACACAACUUGACUUUUGCUUGAUUUUCUAGAUUACACGCCCUUGAUGCUGGAUUACACGCCCUUGAUGCAAAACAAUUUUACUUCAAAACUGCUUGUACCUUACUGUUGUGUGCUACAUAAAAGUGUUUUUCCAAGGACUAAGCCUGCGAAUAGACGUAAAGUGUCUUGAGUGGCCAGUCAGGUGGCAAUUUUGUGGUGCAAAGCCACGAAUACGACUUAAAUGAGUAAGACUUAGGUAAGAAAAUUAUCCUUCUUUAUGCAGCCUGUGGAGACAAGGUUUGUUAGAAUGGCCAUGGCCCUCAAGGAAGAUGCAGAGGCCACAGGCAGUUCCUCCAGUGACCAUGAAAAGCUCGCCAUGCACCCGGGAUACGAGUUUACCACGGAGACGAACAGGCACCUGCGAGCUACCGGGCACAAAGUCAACUCCAUCAAUGCUCAAAACCAUGAACAAGGACUUGCCAUGCACCCGGGAUCAGAGUUUACCACGGAGACGAACGGGCACCUGCUAGCUACCGGGGACAAAAUCAACUCCAUCAAUGCUCAAAACCAUGAACAAGGACUCGCCAUGCACCCGGGAUAAGAGUUUACCACGGAGACGAACGGGCACCUGCUAGCUACCGGGGACAAAAUCAACUCCAUCAAUGCUCAAAGCCAUGAACAAGGACUCUCCAUGCACCCGGGAUAAGCGUUUACCACGGAGACGAACGGGCACCUGCUAGCUACCGGGGACAAAAUCAACUCCAUCAAUGCUCAAAACCACGAACAAGGACUCGCCAUGCACCCGGGAUACGAGUUCACCACGGAGACUAACGGGCACCUGCUAGCUACCGGGGACAAAAUCAACUCCAUCAAUGCUCAAAACCAUGAACAAGGAUUCGCCAUGCACCCGGGAUACGAGUUUACCACGGAGACGAACGGGCACCUGCUGGCUGCGGGCACCUGCUAGCUACUGGGGACAAAAUAAACUCCAUCAAUGCUCAAAACCAUGAGCAAGGACUCUCCAUGCACCCGGGAUACGAGUUUACCACGGAGACGAACGGGCACCUGCUAGCUACCGGGGACAAAAUCAACUCCAUCAAUGCUCAAAACCAUGAACAAGGAGUCACGUCCACGCUCGUCAUCCAAACUUGGGUCCCGGUGGCAGGGGACAUCUCACUAUGGUAGUGAAACACCAGUCUUAUU